rnacentral:sRNA from 1 species
GGAGGAGGAUAGGGGAUAGGAGGGCUCAGGGUCUCAGGAACUCCCAGCAGCACCCUCACGCCUCUCCCCCGUCUGCUCGCAGGACGCUGACUUGGCUCGCUUGCUGAGCUCCGGCUCCUUCGGAAACCUGGAGAACCUCAGUUUGGCCUUCACCAAUGUAACCAGUGCCUGCGCCGAGCACCUCAUCAAACUGCCUUCGCUCAAGCAGCUGAACCUGUGGUCCACUCAGUUUGGAGAUGCUGGCCUUCGGCUCCUGUCGGAACACCUCACCAUGCUCCAGGUGCUGAACCUGUGCGAGACCCCGGUCACAGACGCUGGCCUGCUGGCCCUGAGCUCCAUGAAGAGUCUCUGCAGUUUAAACAUGAACAGCACCAAGCUCUCAGCUGACACCUAUGAAGAUCUGAAGG